GUCUCAGUCUAUUAGUAAGUCGUGAAAAUAAAUUCAGUUGACUGUGGCCAGCAUGCAUGAAAGGAGCAGGGAUGGUAGAGAAGGGGAGAUAGGUUGGGAGGAGGAGAUAGGUUUCAAUGAGAAAGGAGAUCUUCAAGUAAUCGCCAGAACAGUGACCAGAGAGGGAAGAAGAGAGACUCUGUAUGGUCCCCUAGGCCUUUUGGAAAACACGGAGCUGCUCCUUUGACUGCAUGCAUGGGACCCUACCAGGAAGCUGAGAUGGUAGACAUCAGAGGAACAAAUGCUAUUCCAACAGGAAGAUCUCACAAACAUUACCAUGGCAAGAUUGGAAAGAAUCUAGAAUGUCAAACCACCAUGCUGCUGCUGAAAUUGUUGGACCGAAGAAGAUAUUUUCCAAGAGAAUUAAUAUGCAAUUUGAGUAUAUUAAGCUCUGGAAUGAACUGAGAUAACUUCCUGAAACUUUAAGAAAAAUGACCAGAAAACAAAAGAAGUCAAAAGAGAGAAACGCCAGGGCUCAGCUGAAACACCGGUCUGCUGCACCUCGAGAAAAUCCCUCAAUGAAGCCUUCAGGUGGAAGGCUGCUCUUUGGAUACUUAGAUUCUGAGCCCUAAACUUUCUCUAAGAAAAGGAAAUAAUUGGGAAAGUAUUUGAGGAGCUAUAUCAUUACUGAAGCGAGGAAGCAGUUACUUUAUUUAUGGAGAAUUACGUAAAAUGAAAGGAAGACACUGAUGGGAGAGAGGGGAAGGGGCAAGGAUCUGGAGUCAGACAUCGCUGUGCACUCCCAGCUCUCCUUCCCACUAGCGGUGUGAGCUUGAACAGAGACGGCAGUCGUUCCCUCCUAGGCGCUUGUGAAGUUCAGGUGCAUGGAGGUGUGAACUGCCUGGCACUCAGUGGACCCUCUGCAAAGGCGAGUUUGCUUCCGUUCUGCUGCCCAUUUCUACCAGGUCUGCUGGCUUUAUGCUCGUAUGCCAUGGAGUGGGGGUUAAAGGAGGGGCGUGUACCCCCAACAUGUUCAAAUCACAAAACUAUCAUGAAGCUUCGCUCCCAACAUGCUCUCUCACUGACAGUCUAAGCCAGGGGUCCUCAAACUUUUUAACCAGGGGGUCAGGUCACUGUCCCUCAGACUGUUGGAGGGCCGUUGGA